rnacentral:tRNA from 1 species
AGAGCCUGAUUAAAGGAUUAUCGUGAUAGGAUAAAAUAUGUAAAAAAAUUGCCUA